rnacentral:misc_RNA from 1 species
GAUUUCUGUUUCCUGUUCAUUUUCCAAUAAUCUCAGUCAUAUACAGUUAUAGUUCACUGUGUCUUCUUCAAAAUUAGCAGAAUAAACACCGCAAGUCGCCAUCACUCCAUUGCUUUUGCAUCUAAAUAGCUUAAGUAGAGCUAGACCUUAAAGUGACAGUUAACAUGAACUAGAGGGAAACUUUUAGUCAUACAAAUUUUGUUCGUGAAUUAAACCAGAUUAUUGAUAGCGAUGAACAAUACAAAGCUAGAAACUAGUCAUUAGACAGCAGCGACGAAAUAUCUUAUAGUACCACUGGUACGCCUCAUUCUUUUAAGCGCCAUAAAUUGAGGGAGACAGUGUGAGUAUACAGACGCACACACGCACAUGAGCAUGUCCGUGCAAACACACACACACACACACUGACACACACAUAUAUAUAUAUUAAACGAUACAAUGACAAAAUAG